CCUACGGGAGGCAGCAGUGGGGAAUAUUGCACAAUGGGCGCAAGCCUGAUGCAGCCAUGCCGCGUGUAUGAAGAAGGCCUUCGGGUUGUAAAGCACUUUCAGCGGGGAGGAAGGCGGUAAGGUUAAUAACCUUGUCGAUUGACGUUACCCGCAGAAGAAGCACCGGCUAACUCCGUGCCAGCAGCCGCGGUAAUACGGAGGGUGCAAGCGUUAAUCGGAAUUACUGGGCGUAAAGCGCACGCAGGCGGUCUGUCAAGUCGGAUGUGAAAUCCCCGGGCUCAACCUGGGAACUGCAUUCGAAACUGGCAGGCUAGAGUCUUGUAGAGGGGGGUAGAAUUCCAGGUGUAGCGGUGAAAUGCGUAGAGAUCUGGAGGAAUACCGGUGGCGAAGGCGGCCCCCUGGACGAAGACUGACGCUCAGGUGCGAAAGCGUGGGGAGCAAACAGGAUUAGAUACCCCUGUAGUC
rnacentral:rRNA from 1 species